rnacentral:misc_RNA from 1 species
GAUGAAGAACGUAGCGAAAUGCGAUAAGUAGUGUGAAUUGCAGAAUUCAGUGAAUCAUCGGAUCUUUGAACGCACAUUGCGCCCCUUGGUAUUCCAUGGGGCAUGCCUGUUCGAGCGUCAUUUGUACCUUCAAGCUUUGCUUGGUGUUGGGUGUUUGUCUCGCCUUUGCGUGUAGACUCGCCUUAAAAUAAUUGGCAGCCGGCGUAUUGAUUUCGGAGCGCAGUACAUCUCGCGCUUUGCACUCAUAACGACAGCGUCCAAAAGUACAUUUUACACUCUUGACCUCGGAUCAGGUAGGGAUACCCGCUGAACUUAAGCAUAUCAAUAAGCGGAGGA